AGAGUUUGAUCAUGGCUCAGAUUGAACGCUGGCGGCAGGCUUAACACAUGCAAGUCGAGCGGUAACAGGAGAAAGCUUGCUUUCUUGCUGACGAGCGGCGGACGGGUGAGUAAUGCCUGGGAAAUUGCCCUGAUGUGGGGGAUAACCAUUGGAAACGAUGGCUAAUACCGCAUAGUAGCUUCGGCUUAAAGAGGGGGACCUUCGGGCCUCUCGCGUCAGGAUAUGCCCAGGUGGGAUUAGCUAGUUGGUGGGGUAAAGGCUCACCAAGGCGACGAUCUCUAGCUGGUCUGAGAGGAUGAUCAGCCACACUGGAACUGAGACACGGUCCAGACUCCUACGGGAGGCAGCAGUGGGGAAUAUUGCACAAUGGGCGCAAGCCUGAUGCAGCCAUGCCGCGUGUAUGAAGAAGGCCUUCGGGUUGUAAAGUACUUUCAGUGGUGAGGAAGGUUAUGUAUUGAAUAGAUGCGUGAUUUGACGUUAGCCACAGAAGAAGCACCGGCUAACUCCGUGCCAGCAGCUGCGGUAAUACGGAGGGUGCGAGCGUUAAUCGGAAUUACUGGGCGUAAAGCGCAUGCAGGUGGUCUGUUAAGUCAGAUGUGAAAGCCCGGGGCUUAACCUCGGAAUAGCAUUUGAAACUGUCAGACUAGAGUACUGUAGAGGGGGGUAGAAUUUCAGGUGUAGCGGUGAAAUGCGUAGAGAUCUGAAGGAAUACCGGUGGCGAAGGCGGCCCCCUGGACAGAUACUGACACUCAGAUGCGAAAGCGUGGGGAGCAAACAGGAUUAGAUACCCUGUAGUCCACGCCGUAAACUAUGUCUACUUGGAGGUUGUGGCCUUGAGCCGUGGCUUUCGGAGCUAACGCGUUAAGUAGACCGCCUGGGGAGUACGGUCGCAAGAUUAAAACUCAAAUGAAUUGACGGGGGCCCGCACAAGCGGUGGAGCAUGUGGUUUAAUUCGAUGCAACGCGAAGAACCUUACCUACUCUUGACAUCUACAGAAGCUUGCGGAGACGCGAGUGUGCCUUCGGGAACUGUAAGACAGGUGCUGCAUGGCUGUCGUCAGCUCGUGUUGUGAAAUGUUGGGUUAAGUCCCGCAACGAGCGCAACCCUUAUCCUUGUUUGCCAGCACAUAAUGGUGGGAACUCCAGGGAGACUGCCGGUGAUAAACCGGAGGAAGGUGGGGACGACGUCAAGUCAUCAUGACCCUUACGAGUAGGGCUACACACGUGCUACAAUGGCGCAUACAGAGGGCGGCCAACUUGCAAAAGUGAGCGAAUCCCAAAAAGUGCGUCGUAGUCCGGAUUGGAGUCUGCAACUCGACUCCAAGAAGUCGGAAUCGCUAGUAAUCGUGGAUCAGAAUGCCACGGUGAAU
rnacentral:rRNA from 1 species